GACUGUAAAUAUGGAGACGUACAUGAGAAAUUUAUAAGAAUUUGAACAAUGUUUAUUGUAAAGAUCCUCAAACAAUUAAGACAGCAAAGUAUGCAAUCCAUCCUCACAAUACAAGUCCUACCGAAAUUUGGAAACCCCCAACCUGAAGGCUAAUUCGAUCUGGAGGGAGCUCAGCAUUUCUUUCUAUCCAUAAUUACUUCUCUACUUGUCUGCUACUACUAACUUCGAACCCUAUCAAAUCUCUUGCUCUGGACCUCCAAAGUUUGAACCCAGAAAUCAAGUAGAAUCAUUUAUUUCUUAUUGUCUUCAGGGUAAUAUACUGCAAUACCACAAGAUCUGCGUAUUAUUGAUGUAUAUAAACAAGUAGUGCCAUUAAUCUCACAAUCCCUCCCGUAAAGUCUCACUGCCUGCCAAAAAGAGAAACAAUUCAUUCAAAAUUUCAUGUUAUUUCAUGACUUGCUAGUUUUUACCAGACAAUGUAAAUCUUAAAUUCUCAUGUUCAUUUCUUCUUCAUUGCCAAGAGUUCCAAUUCAUAUAUACAGCAAGAAUUACAUUAACAAAUUGAGACGUUGCUCCAAGCCUUAGCUAAACUGCAUUGAGACGUUCCAACUUGUCAUAUAUAAAGUUCCCAUUUCCCAUUCGGAAGUGUUGAGGUAUUGAAUUUGUAGUCCAUUCCUCUUUAUACAGUUUGGGUCAAUCUAACUUAUUUAAUGUACGUAAAAGUUGUUUCAGUUGUUAACAGAAGUUUCUAAACUUACCUCAUAGAAUUUUUUCAUAUAUCUCUCGCAGUUUUCAUUUGGAAACUUGAUGUAAGUUGUAUCAUCGGCUUCUUCCAUUGGAUUUGGACGACGACUAAUCUUGGACCCAGGAAAUUUCCUCACAAGUUCAUCCUGACGUUCACUAGGAGUAGGAGUACCUUCUUUUUUUUUGGAAUUAAAAAUACCUAACGAAACAUAUUAAGUACGUUUACGUAAAAAUAACAAAAAUUAAAAAAUAAAAGAAGAAGAAGAAGAAGAUUGACCUUAACCUUACAAAGAAGGCAUGCAAGAAACUAAUACAACCGGUACCACUUAGACAAUGCAAAAAUGUGUCAUACAUAAAAUACAAGUAUAUAAUUUCCUUAUAAAAAAACAAAAAACAAAAAAUGCAUAUCUUAGCAGCUCUGCGUGAAGAAGACAACCAAAAAAAAAACCUAAAUGACGAUAAGAGAUCUGGUACAAUAAUAAUUAUUUCGAGCCACAUAUCCAGACAUUCACACACACACAUAUAUAUAUGAAAUUAACAAAGUACGUACAUAAGAGUAUAGAAUAAGAAACUCACUUACUCUUUAGUUUGCGUUGUGGUGGUGGUUUUGGUUUUGGUUGGGAUUCUGGUUGUGGUUGUGAGUCUGGUUGCGGUGGUGGUUUUGAUUGGGAUGUUGGUUGUGGUUGUGGUUUUUCGGCAAACAAAUCACUAAACAUGGAGAACAAACCGGAUUCUGCAAAAGUUAAAAGUAAAACACAAUCAAUUUGGUUCAUCGAAUCGGUUAAACUCUUACGAUUAAAACUCAAAACUGAAAAUCCUGGAGUUUAAAAAAUAAAUAAAUAAUAAUAACCUUCCGGAUUUGAUUGAGCCAUGAAAUUCCCGGUGGAGAAGGACAGGACUCACAGGAGGAGCAGCUGAUCGAAUAGGGUUUUAUUUUCUUGUUGUCCAAGCUUAUACAUAUGAUGGGAGAGCCAGAUGAACAACAUAGGCCAUCCGG
rnacentral:lncRNA from 1 species